rnacentral:piRNA from 1 species
UAACCCUAGGAGACAGUGGAGCCUCGAGUU